rnacentral:tRNA from 1 species
GCGAUCAUGGCGGAAUGGUAGACGCGCUAGUUUGAGGGGCUAGUGGGAGGUGUCCCGUGGAAGUUCGAGUCUUCUUGGUCGCACCA